rnacentral:rRNA from 1 species
UACGUAGGAGGCGAGCGUUGUCCGGAAUUAUUGGGCGUAAAGAGCUCGUAGGCGGUGUGUCGCGUCGGCCGUGAAAACCUGCAGCUUAACUGUGGGCUUGCGGUCGAUACGGGCAUCACUGGAGUUCGGCAGGGGAGACUGGAAUUCCUGGUGUAGCGGUGAAAUGCGCAGAUAUCAGGAGGAACACCGGUGGCGAAGGCGGGUCUCUGGGCCGAUACUGACGCUGAGGAGCGAAAGCGUGGGGAGCGAACAGG